GGGAGCGAAUAUUAGGACAAUGGGCGCAAGCCUGAUCCAGCCAUGCCGCGUGUGUGAAGAAGGCCUUAUGGUUGUAAAGCACUUUAAGCGAGGAGGAGGCUACUUUAGUUAAUACCUAGAGAUAGUGGACGUUACUCGCAGAAUAAGCACCGGCUAACUCUGUGCCAGCAGCCGCGGUAAUAA
rnacentral:rRNA from 1 species